CUACGGGGCGCAGCAGUGGGGAAUAUUGCACAAUGGGCGCAAGCCUGAUGCAGCCAUGCCGCGUGUAUGAAGAAGGCCUUCGGGUUGUAAAGUACUUUCAGCGGGGAGGAAGGGAGUAAAGUUAAUACCUUUGCUCAUUGACGUUACCCGCAGAAGAAGCACCGGCUAACUCCGUGCCAGCAGCCGCGGUAAUACGGAGGGUGCAAGCGUUAAUCGGAAUUACUGGGCGUAAAGCGCACGCAGGCGGUUUGUUAAGUCAGAUGUGAAAUCCCCGGGCUCAACCUGGGAACUGCAUCUGAUACUGGCGAGCUUGAGUCUCGUAGAGGGGGGUAGAAUUCCAGGUGUAGCGGUGAAAUGCGUAGAGAUCUGGAGGAAUACCGGUGGCGAAGGCGGCCCCCUGGACGAAGACUGACGCUCAGGUGCGAAAGCGUGGGGAGCAGACAGGAUUAGAUACCCGGGUAGUC
rnacentral:rRNA from 1 species